ensembl:lncRNA LINC01968 long intergenic non-protein coding RNA 1968
AACACAAGAGGCAAAGAUCACUCGGGACCACCUUGUAUAUUGGCUACCACAGAACCCAACACAAGCAGUAAGUUAAAAUCAUGAAGCUCCUGACGUCAGAGGACAUGGCUCUGCCAUUUGUUAGCCGUUCUUUCCCAAGUUACCUCUCUCAGAUUCCUGCAGAAAAGCCUGAGUGCCAGCCUCCAGCUCUGGAUAAGAUUCUCCAAGAGUGGUUCUCAAUCUUGCAGAAACUCAGAAUCUCCUAGGAGCUCAAAACAACACCACCAACAACAACAACACCUCUUCUCCAAGCCGCAGACUCAGGAAAUGUGAUUCAUUCAAUCUGCCUGGGGUGGUCUAGGCAUAGUACUUUCUUUACCUUCUAUCGCAUUAGCACUGCAAUGAAUGCUGCUGCACACGCUGUUGAGCUCGUGGACACUUUCCUGCUGGGUGAGGACCCGAACGUGAAAUUGCUGGGUCAUGGAUUCAAGUGCUACACAUAUUUUUGACCACAUUACUGUGACUCAGGAAGCCCAGGAACAGAAUUCUAGGCACCAGAACCAUACAUGUUACAGCCUCUGAGCUUUAUGGCCUCUGAGCCAUUUGUCCAGCCACAUCAUUUGCAGAUGAGAUCCUGAGACUCAGGCUGGAAAAGUGACCGGGGAAAAGUCACACAAGUCAGAGGCAGAGCUGGAGUUUCCUCAUUUCCAGGCCCGUAUAGAUCAAGACGGACGUUGGUCAAACACCUCCUAGUACUCACAUGAAGAAGCUCUCCUUUCUGCUGUAGGAAUGAUCACACACCAUUCCAAUCUGGAUACCAAAUGUCAUUGUUUAUUAAAUGUGUGCAGUGU